ACUGAUUGAUCAUGGCUCAGGAUGAACGCUGGCGGUAUGCCUAACACAUGCAAGUCGUACGGGAGUUUUUAACUCCAGUGGCGGACGGGUGAGUAACACGUGAGAAUUUGCCUUUAGGAGGGGGAUAACAGAUUGAAAAGUCUGCUAAUACCCCAUAUGCUUUCGAGUGAAAUGAAUUUAUUCGCCUAGAGAGAAGCUCGCGGCUGAUUAGCUUGUUGGUAAGGUAACGGCUUACCAAGGCGACGAUCAGUAUCUGGUUUGAGAGGAUGAUCAGACACACUGGAACUGAGACACGGUCCAGACUCCUACGGGAGGCAGCAGUGGGGAAUUUUCCGCAAUGGGCGAAAGCCUGACGGAGCAAUACCGCGUGAGGGAUGACGGCCUAUGGGUUGUAAACCUCUUUUCUCAGGGAGGAACACAAUGACGUUACCUGAGGAAUAAGCAUCGGCUAACUCCGUGCCAGCAGCCGCGGUAAGACGGAGGAUGCAAGUGUUAUCCGGAAUCACUGGGCGUAAAGCGUCUGUAGGUGGUUUAGCAAGUCAACUGUUAAAUCUUGAAGCUCAACUUCAAAAUCGCAGUCGAAACUGUUAGACUAGAGUAUAGUAGGGGUAAAGGGAAUUUCCAGUGGAGCGGUGAAAUGCGUAGAGAUUGGAAAGAACACCGGUGGCGAAGGCACUUUACUGGGCUAUUACUGACACUCAGAGACGAAAGCUAGGGUAGCAAAUGGGAUUAGAUACCCCAGUAGUCCUAGCCGUAAACAAUGGAUACUAGAUGUUGGGCAGAUCGACCUGUUCAGUAUUAAAGCUAACGCGUUAAGUAUCCCGCCUGGGAAGUAUGCGCGCAAGCGUGAAACUCAAAGGAAUUGACGGGGGCCCGCACAAGCGGUGGAGCAUGUGGUUUAAUUCGAUGCAACGCGAAGAACCUUACCAGGGUUUGACAUGAUACGAAUUUUCUUGAAAGAGAAAAUUGCCGUUUGGAACGUAUACACAGGUGGUGCAUGGCUGUCGUCAGCUCCUGUCCUGAGAUGUUGGGGUUAAUUCCCGCAACGAAGGGCAACCCUUAAUUUUAAUUGGCCUUUUAUGUGAAUCUUAG
rnacentral:rRNA from 1 species